UACGAAGGGGGCGAGCGUUGUUCGGAUUUACUGGGCGUAAAGGGCGCGCAGGCGGCGCAUUUUGUCAGGCGUGAAAGCCCCGGGCUUAACCUGGGAACUGCGUUUGAUACGGAUGGGCUAGAGUUCGGGAGAGGAGAGUGGAAUUCCCAGUGUAGAGGUGAAAUUCGUAGAUAUUGGGAAGAACACCCGUGGCGAAGGCGGUUCUCUGGGACGGUACUGACGCUGAGACGCGAAAGCCAGGGGAGCAAACGGGG
rnacentral:rRNA from 1 species